UUCAACGCCAACCAUUUGUUGCUAAGGUGCCAACGCAGCUGCUCCUGUAGUUUUAUCUUGAGGCACCCUCCGUUGCUCCCCACUGCCAUUUAGCUUGCUCAGCAAGCAACUUCCAUGGCAUUUCCUUUCCUGUAUUCAUGGUGGCAUGAUUCGAGUCUAGACUGUGUAGAUGAUGUCCCGGAAGAAGAUGUGCAGCUUGACAACAAUGUGGAGGAGGAGGAGGAUGUCUGCUGGUUUUUAGUACAAAUCUUACUUGGUUAUAUUUUGGUUGUUGGCCUUUUAAGGAUCCUCUAUCUCUUUAGGAAUAUGAUAAGGAAACACCGUGGACAUCUAUCUUGGAAUAGGCUGAAAUGUUCCAAAGACCCUGUUUCUGGCUUCAAGCUCUUUGGAGGGGAAGAUAA